rnacentral:rRNA from 1 species
UACGUAGGUGGCAAGCGUUGUCCGGAAUUAUUGGGCGUAAAGCGCGCGUAGGCGGCCUUGUCAGUCAGGCGUGAAAGCCCCGGGCUCAACCUGGGAACGGCGCUUGGGACGGCGAGGCUGGAGUUCGGGAGAGGAGAGUGGAAUUCCCAGUGUAGAGGUGAAAUUCGUAGAUAUUGGGAAGAACACCGGUGGCGAAGGCGGCUCUCUGGACCGACACUGACGCUGAGGCGCGAAAGCGUGGGGAGCAAACAGG